CCUGGAGUGGCUCAGUGAGUAAAGUGACUGACUUCAGAUCAGAUCAUGAUCUUGCAGCCUGUGAGUUCAAGCCCCGCCUCAGGGU
rnacentral:tRNA from 1 species